AUGCUGAGAAGCAUAUUCAGAGUUGAGCUUGAGCUGAACUUCUGGACUAAGCCCUUAGCUUUCCUUUGUGCAGAGCUGGGGGAAGCUGUAGUGGAAGCCCAGACAGCCUUCUGCAGGCAUGGAUGUAGUGACUUACCUUGGCCUGGGGUAAGGCUGGAUCAGUUUCAUUCUCCCAAUCCUCUCUUACAUUUUCCUAAAACUGCACCACCUCCAAUUUUUGUUUUUUUCUACUUCUGUUUUCACAGGUACCUGAGUCAGUACUGUGAGGCCUCAGCAAUGACUGUCUUCAAAAGCUGGUGUUUUGGCAGGGGGCUGCCCCGAGGAGUGACAAGGGUGUGUAUUGAGGCGGCUUGUGAAGAGGACUUGAACGCUGUACCAGCUGCAUAUCCCUGGCUUCCUCCCAAGAGCUCCUGAUGGGAUAUUCUCCAUGAUUUCUAAGACCACCUGGAGUUAUUAGUCCCUUGAGGACCCCCAUAAGAUGCUUUAUUAUCCUUUCCUUUGCUCCCCAGGUGCCUUAACUCAGAUCCUCAUUCAUUGUGAGAUUGGGAAAACAUGCACGUGCAGGUCUUGUCUUAGGUAGCAAUAAAACGCUAUUACUAGAUCCCCAAAUGUAAAUGACACAGGCAACUAUUUCUUAACAUCAAUAAAUCUAAUGUCUGUGUAAUCAGAAACCAGAGAUCUGAACUCUACCUUUGAGCUAACUCAAAAUCUGUAUCAUUGCCGUCAUUAGAAACCAGUUUUUAUUCCUUGUCUUAUUGAAGAGACUGCUGUUGACUGUUUUUAAUUUUUAAAUAAUGAUUUUUUAUUUUUAGAUAUAAGCCAUAAGGCAACUUUAAAAGUUUGUUUUUGAGGAGGUAAGAGUUGAAUUUAAAACAACAAAUGAAGCCUUUGCAUUACUAGCGUUCUUUUCCACGUACAUUAUAUAACACUGGAGUGUUAGAAAUAUUUUUGAAAGUAUUUUUGUAAAAAAUAUGUAUUUCUAAAAAAAAGCAUCGAUGAGAAAGAAAUGAAUUUAUGUAAAAACUUUUUCAAAUAAAUGUGUAAAAAUUUUCACCUGGGGCACACAAAUAAAGCAAUUGUCUGAGAGUAUGGUCAUUUUCAGUAAUAUUACACUAACAAUUUCUAACUGUAUCUCUAUGUACGGUUUAAACUUUUUAUGAACACAAAUUCAUUAUAGAACAAAUUAUUGCAUUUAAGAGAAACAUCAAAAGCUGACUGUUUAUUUACUUUUACCAGUUAUUCUUCCUCCAUGAAAAUUAUGCUUCUGAAUAUAAUGAAUAAAACCAGAUGUGAUCACACUGAUUUUGACUUAGUGCUAUUUUCAACAUAAUAAUAUUUCUUAUGGGAUAGAGAGCAAAGAAGGGAAGGUGAAGGGAAGAAAAUCACCUUUGCAUUUCCACUGUGUUUGCAGGUCAUGGAUUUGAUGUGUUACGUCAUAAUACAAAAAUUAGCUGGGCAUGGUGGCGGGUGCUGGUAAUCCCAGCUAUUUGUGAGGCUGAGGCAGAGAAUUGCUUGAACUCAGGAGGCAGAGGUUGCAGAGAGCCAAGAUCAUGCCACUGCACUGCAGCCUGGGCGACAGAGCGAGACUACAUCUCAAAAAAAAAAAAAAAAAAAAAAAAAAAAAAAAAAAAAAAAAAAAAAAGAAAAGAAAAGAAAAAGAAAUUGAAGUAUAAAGGAAGGGGAAUCAUAAGAAUUUUCUAAAUGGUAGUAAGUAUUAAGCCCAAAAUAGUUUAAAUAAAACUGAAAUUUGAGAUAGGGUUUGAUAAUAGUUUGUAUGUUUUAACUAAAAUUUAAAAUUUAAGAUGUAUAAAUAUAAAAAUUUCCUUACAACAUAAAGUAUUGGCAACCACAUAAAGACCAGGGGUAUGUUUCAGGAAAAAAAAAAUUAGAAAAUACCCCAAUUAAGCUCUAUUUGAAUUGUAAGGUCAAUGAUAUUUUGGUUUAAAUGCAGAUGCGUUUAGUCACCUUUUGGGUCCCUUCCCAAAUCUGUUGAAAGCAAUGGAAAUUUCCUACCAAAAAUAUCACAUUUUUGCAUUAAACAUUUUUGGAGUGUUACAGGUUCCCUAAGUUCAUUAAUUCCAGCCUUCUUUCAUCCUUCUUUUGGGGUUCAUGAGGUCAACGUGGAAAAUGUCUUUAAGUGUUAACACAGAUCUCAUUCUUUAAAAUAUUGGUGGGAUGGUUGGACUUUGUUCUUUAGAAUUCUGCAAGACCUGCAAAUGUAAACAAAUCUUUCAUUAGUAGCCCAACUAGAGCAGGACCCAUGUUUGAGGAAAUAUACAACUAGGGGAAAAGAAAGUUAUGGAGUUGCAGAUUGGAACAGGGCUAUAAUAAAAGUUCACACUUAUAUAGUGCUUAAGGAUGGUGUCAGUGUAUUAUAGGAUUUUAUUUAUUAACCAUCACAACCUCACCUUAGGGGAAGUUUUGAGAGGGGUGAUAAACUGUCUAUCCUUGGCGUUACAUCUUGAGAUGGGUUGGAAUGGGGUCCUUAGCUGUGGUGCCAAGAAAAUGUUAUAAGAAAGCUAAAAAUUUUGUCGCCUGGAAUUUUAACAUAUUUGGAUGUUUAGCUAUACACCUGACUAACAGAUCAAAUUUGUUAGAUUUCUAUAAGAUGUCAGGCUUUGAGUGACAUAAAUGGCAUUAUGUGAAGGGUAGAGAAUUCCCAG
rnacentral:lncRNA from 1 species